GAAAGAGAUAGAUAGAUAGAUAGAAAGAGAGAGCGAGAGAGAGAGAGAGAGGAGAGAGAAGACAGAGAGAGAGAAAGAGAAGAGAGAACGGAAUCCCCGAUGCGGCGGGGUGUCUCGCGCACGUAACGAGCGCAAAUGACGACUUCGAUGUUGCUCAGCUUCAACCCGCCUAUCGUGAAGCGGCUGCUAGGCUGGAAGAAGGCCGAGGGCGAGGACAAAUGGAGCGAGAAGGCCGUCAAGAGUCUCGUUAAGAAGUUGAAGAAGUCGGCGGGUCUCGAGGAACUCGAGAAGGCCAUUACCACGCAAAGCUGCAAUACCAAGUGCAUCACUAUACCGAGGCCUAGCCCGGGUGGCGUGGGCGACAACGGGGUCCAAGGUGUACGAGGCAAGGGUCUCCCCCACGUGAUCUAUUGUCGUCUCUGGCGUUGGCCAGAUUUGCAAUCGCACCACGAGCUAAGGGCGAUCGAGCACUGCGAGUACGCUUUCACGCAAAAGAGGGACGAGGUCUGCGUAAAUCCUUAUCAUUAUCAACGAAUACAAACUCCAGUUUUGCCGGCCAUUCUCGUGCCGCGGCACAAUCUAGCCGGGGACGAGACCGUACUCUACAACACCUCCCUCGAGGAGCUGAGCGUCAGCGUACCGGAAAACACGAGCUUCCACGCGACGUUGAAUCAUCAGCAUCACAAUCAACAAAACAUACCGCAAUCGCCGCAACAACAACAACAGCAGCAACAACAACAACAACAGCAGCAGCAACAGCAACAGCAGCAGCAACAACAGCAACAACAACAACAACAACAACAACAACAGCAACAACAACAGCAGCAACAGCAACAACCGAACAAUCCGUACCAAGGAAUGCAGAGUAUGCAGGCAACCAGUCCAGCGAGUGUUGGGAGUCUAGGAAGCGUGCAGGGCUCGCCUCAUCCUACGUCAGGAUCUAUGGAUCCUCCAGCUGAUACACCACCACCGGGAUACAUCAGCGAGGACGGCGAUAACAUGGAUCACAACGAUAACAUGUCUCUAUCCCGUUUAUCACCCAGUCCUGUAGAUGCCCAACCUGUAAUGUACUGUGAGCCAGCUUUCUGGUGUUCGAUAAGUUAUUACGAGCUGAACACAAGAGUUGGAGAGACGUUUCAUGCCUCACAGCCAAGUAUCACAGUGGAUGGUUUCACGGAUCCAAGUAAUUCCGAACGCUUUUGUCUCGGUUUGCUCUCGAACGUUAAUCGUAAUACCGUGGUGGAACAGACCAGACGGCAUAUCGGUAAAGGCGUGAGACUCUAUUAUAUCGGUGGUGAGGUCUUUGCGGAGUGUCUCUCCGAUUCGAGCAUCUUUGUGCAAAGUCCAAAUUGCAAUCAACGUUACGGUUGGCAUCCGGCUACCGUUUGCAAAAUACCACCUGGCUGUAAUCUGAAGAUCUUUAAUAAUCAAGAAUUCGCGGCAUUAUUGUCGCAAUCGGUGUCGCAAGGUUUCGAAGCGGUUUAUCAGCUGACGCGUAUGUGUACGAUCAGAAUGAGUUUCGUUAAGGGAUGGGGAGCGGAAUAUCGAAGACAGACAGUGACAUCAACGCCAUGUUGGAUCGAGUUGCAUCUAAAUGGUCCGUUGCAAUGGCUCGACAGGGUACUCACACAAAUGGGUUCACCACGUUUGCCCUGUUCCUCGAUGUCCUAAAUCGUAUGAAGAUCGAAUCAAUGAAAAGGAUUAUGAAGAAGUUGUCGCUUUCUUAUCGUCGUCGUCGUCGUCGUCGUCGUCGUCGUCGUCAUUGUCGUCGUCGUCGUCGUCGUCGUCGUCGUCGUCAUCGUCGUUGUUAAUCGAUCCGUUUUUCAUUUUCCCUUUAACGUCGUCGAUAAUAUCAUCUCACAUAACCGGGAUUUUACAGUGAACGAAUCGCAGUGACAAGCGAGGAGAAAAAACGAACAUAUAAUUAUACAUAUACAUAUAUAUAUAUAUAUAUGUAUAUAUGUGUGUAUGUGUAUGUAUAUAUAUAUAUAUUUACACAUAAUACACAUAAUAGUUUAUUUGCUAAAACGUGAAAGACAAACGAGAUAACGAUAAAUCUACGUACGCCAAAAUACGUCGAGGAUUAUAUAUCUCUCUUUGUAGGCUCGAUUCGACGAUCUGAGCACGAUACAAUGUCACACAACAAUGCUAAUUACAAGCAGAAGAGGAAGAAAAACAAGAACAAAAAGAAGAAGAAGAAGAAAAAGAGGAAGGAAAUGGUUAUUCGUUGUUAACUAUACGUAAAGCCUUUUGUGAUUCGGCGAACGAUCGAUAAUCGGAAAGAGAAGAAGAAAAAAGUCCAUGAUCGAGAACGUUCAAGCCUGUAUAAAAAAGAAAAAGAAAAUGAUCACGUUAACGUAUUUAAUCGCCAUAAGAGUACGUUGCUAUCUAUAUGAAGGGGUAAAAUUAUUUGAUUUCGAUUUGAUGAAUGAGAGAGAGAGAGAGAGAGAGAAAUAGAGUACGUAAUAAUAACGGGAGACUCUUGUUAAUCAAAAUAAUCGUAUUCACAAUGGUCUCUCAUUUUAAAAGAAAAGAAAAAGAAGGAGAAAUAGAAGAAGAAAAAAAGAGUACUCGUCGGUCCUUCGUUAAAAAUAUUUUUUAUUGCUUAUCGAACGAACGCACUGCAGUUGUUGAGACGAUACAUACUUAUAUCUUUUUGUGGUGACACCCAGACACAUACACGAACAAACAAACAACAAACACACAUUCAUACGCGCGCGCGUAAUUAUGUAUUAUAUUUACUGGAAUAAGAAUUGUGUGUGUGUGUGUGUGUGUGUAUGUGUGCGUAUGCGUGCGUGUGGACGAAAUUCUCUCGCAUAUCAUGUAAAUUUGCGCGUAGUAGGUUACAUACAUAUAUGCCGUUACGAGGUUUAUAAGAUUGUGAUUUUUUGUUUGUUUUUCUGUUCUUUUUUUUUUUUCUCUAUUUUUUUUUCCCUCCAUAAAAGUCUUUUUAUAAUGAUGAUCUCGAUAUAUACGAUAUAACGAAAGAGAAAUAAGAUAAAUAAUUAGGAUAAUAAUGAAUUUUCUUAUUUGGAAGGACCAGUGGUGUUUUGUGCGCACACGAAAGAAGAGAUCUUCGAUGAUUAUGAUGAUUAUUUUAUUUAGUUGAAAUUACUAUUUGAUAAAUUACGAUUGGUAAUGGGAUAUAUAAGUCAUAGGUAAUUUUUCAAAUGUGCAGUCAAUUGUAAAAAGAAAAAGAGAGAGAGAGAGAGAGAGAGAGAGAGAGAGAGAGAGAGAGAGAGAGAGAGUGUUGAUUCUAAGAAACAAAGUGAAAAAGAUAUAUCACUAUUACGUAUUAUGGUGUCUUAUCUUAAUUAUCCUGUUAAGAAUAAGCGCUCUGUAUUAUUUGUUUUUGUCGAAUAAGGAUAUUUAAAGAAAAAAAAAAAAAAAAAAAAAAAAAAAGGAAAAAAAGAUAGAAAAAAAAAAGAAAAUAUAUCACCCACAUAGAGUUCGUAAAGAAGAAGGAAGAUAAAGAAACGAGGAAUAUCUUAUUAUUCGUGUGGCAUUGCGAGUGAAAUUAUUAGUGAAAAAUGCAGUGAGAGAGAGAAAAAAAUAUAUAUAUAUAUAUGUAUUAUAAAAAAAUCACGAGGAUCGUUAAUUGAAUAUUACUGUCGAUACGAAAUUUUGGCUCUACAUUAUCGUGUAUGGUGUGUGCGAAGAUAGUGUGUAUGCGAAGUGAGAAAAAUGAAAGAAAGAUACACACACACACACACACACACAUAUAGGAAACAAAUUGUAUGCCAUUCAUUGUCCAAUCGUGCGAGUAUAUAGAUUUUUUAUUGCAUGUUUUUACAAUGUCGCAAACGGAGGAAAAGAUUUUUUUUUUCUUUUUCUUUUUGUUUCCUUUUUUUUUCUCUUCGACGAACGAUCUUAAUCGUAAUAUUUUGUUAUCGUCACAGUAUGACUGUAUCGAACGUAUAAUUUUUAAAAAACAAGGUAGAUAAUGUGAAUGAAGCAAAAAAGAAUAUAUAUAUAUAUGUAUAAACGUAUGUAUAUGUAUAUAUAUAUAUAUACGUAAAUACAUACAUACAUACAUACAUACAUACAUACACAUAAGAAUAGGGAUGUGCGAACAUGAACAAGUGAAUUUUUAAUAUAUGCGAUAUCAAGCUAAAAUUCAACGUGUAUAUUUCGAUAUAUAUAUAAACAAAUAUAUAUAUGUAUAUAUAUAUAUGUAUAUAUAUAUAUAUAUGUAUAUGUAUAUUAUAGAGUCUAAACAAACAAGCAAACAAAUUAUAUAUUAUAUAUCAUUGUGUGUAACACACGAACAAGAGGUAAGAACAAAGAUUUGAUGCAGAGCGCAUACGAAGAUCAUUCUCGUUAGUUUAAUAAGAAAAACUUCUUAGCUUUAUAUUUGUGUGAAGUCAUUGAGAGUUCAAAAAAGAACAAAAAAAGAAAACUGUUGGGAGAGGGCAUUGUGAGAGGAAGGAGGAGGGGAAAGAAAGGUGAAAGAUUAAUCAUAAAGCGAGAUUUCUAUUUUAUUGCAGAAUUUUGAUAAUAUAUUUGAAAAUUAUUUCGAUUAGAGAAACUAAACAUAAUCAGAUGUUUACCGAGCGACAUUUUCUUUUUCUUUUUUCUUUAUUUUUGUUUCCCUUUUUUUUUCUUUUUUUUUUUCUCUCCUUUUUUGCUGUCCCUCUUUUUUUUUUUUCCCUGGAAAUUCGUAAGAAACAUUAUGUUAACGAACAUUAGGCGAAACCUUUUUCGUUCUAUUUUCUGUAACGUUUUAGAAAAAAAGGGAAGGAGAGAGAGAGUAUAUUAUUUGUACGGAGAUCAAUGAGAAGUACCGAGGGUCCAAUUUUUGCACGCACAUAAUUUAAAGGAAAAAAAAGAAAAAAGAAAAAGAAAAAAAAAUAAGGGGUGAAA